AACGAACGCUGGCGGCAUGCCUAACACAUGCAAGUCGAACGAGAUCUUCGGAUCUAGUGGCGCACGGGUGCGUAACGCGUGGGAAUCUGCCCUUUGCUUCGGAAUAACAGUGAGAAAUUACUGCUAAUACCGGAUGAUGUCUUCGGACCAAAGAUUUAUCGGCAAAGGAUGAGCCCGCGUAGGAUUAGGUAGUUGGUGGGGUAAUGGCCUACCAAGCCGACGAUCCUUAGCUGGUCUGAGAGGAUGAUCAGCCACACUGGGACUGAGACACGGCCCAGACUCCUACGGGAGGCAGCAGUGGGGAAUAUUGGACAAUGGGGGAAACCCUGAUCCAGCAAUGCCGCGUGAGUGAUGAAGGCCUUAGGGUUGUAAAGCUCUUUUACCAGGGAUGAUAAUGACAGUACCUGGAGAAUAAGCGCCGGCUAACUCCGUG
rnacentral:rRNA from 1 species